rnacentral:rRNA from 2 species
UACGAAGGGUGCAAGCGUUACUCGUAAUUACUGGGCGUAAAGCGUGCGUAGGUGGUUCGUUAAGUCUGAUGUGAAAGCCCCGGGCUCAACCUGGGAAUUGCAUUGGAUACUGGCGGGCUAGAGUGCGGUAGAGGAUGGCGGAAUUCCUGGUGUAGCAGUGAAAUGCGUAGAGAUCAGGAGGAACAUCCGUGGCGAAGGCGGCCAUCUGGACCAGCACUGACACUGAGGCACGAAAGCGUGGGGAGCAAAC